GAACGUGCCCCAAAGUGAGGAAUAACUGCCCGAAAGGGUGGCUAAUGCCGCAUAUGAUCUUCGGAUUAAAGGAUUUAUCCGCUUUGGGAGCGGCCCGCGUUAGAUUAGGUAGUUGGUAGGGUAAUGGCCUACCAAGCCGACGAUCUAUAGCUGGUCUGAGAGGAUGAUCAGCCAGACUGGGACUGAGACACGGCCCAGACUCCUACGGGAGGCAGCAGUGAGGAAUCUUCCACAAUGGGCGAAAGCCUGAUGGAGCAACGCCGCGUGAAGGAUGAAGGCCCUCGGGUUGUAAACUUCUUUUAUAAGUGAAGAAUAUGACGGUAACUUAUGAAUAAGCACCGGCUAACUACGUGCCAGCAGCCGCGGUCAUACGUAGGGUGCAAGCAUUAUCCGGAGUGACUGGGCGUAAAGAGUUGCGUAGGUGGUUUGUUAAGCGAGUAGUGAAAUCAGGCGGCUCAACCGUUCUGGCUAUUACUCGAACUGGCAAACUCGAGAAUGGUAGAGGUAACUGGAAUUUCUUGUGUAGGAGUGAAAUCCGUAGAUAUAAGAAGGAACACCAAUGGCGUAGGCAGGUUACUGGACCAUUUCUGACACUGAGGCACGAAAGCGUGGGGAGCG
rnacentral:rRNA from 1 species